rnacentral:rRNA from 1 species
UGCCAGCAGCCGCGGUAACACGUAGGGAGCAAGCGUUGUCCGGAUUUAUUGGGCGUAAAGAGCUCGUAGGUGGUUCAGUAAGUCGGGUGUGAAAACUCAAGGCUCAACCUUGAGACGCCAUCCGAUACUGCUGUGACUUGAGUUCGGUAGAGGAGUGUGGAAUUCCUGGUGUAGCGGUGAAAUGCGCAGAUAUCAGGAGGAACACCGACAGCGAAGGCAGCACUCUGGGCCGAUACUGACACUGAGGAGCGAAAGCAUGGGGAGCAAACAGGAUUAGAUA